GUCCCCUGCUCGCUCUGGCGGCACAUGUACUAAACUUGAUACAGAGAAGAUUAGCAUGACCCCUGCACAAGGAUGACACGGAAACUUGCGGAGUGUUCCAUAUUUAA
ensembl:snRNA U6 U6 spliceosomal RNA